AAUUUUAGUAUUUCCCCCUCAUUAUUUUGAGACUCCCUCCAGAAUUCCCCAAAUGACUAUCUGCUCGGUUAUGAAACUUACCCUUUCCCUCCCAAAAAUUAUCCUUUCCUUCCAGAUCCCUCCAUCCUUUCCCUCCAAAAUUUUUUGUUAAAACUCACGCUUACCCCAAUUUCACGAUUCAUUUUUCUUGAAGGUAAAACUCACUCUUAUCCACCAUUCCUCUGUUUUAGGUAAAACAAUUGGAACUGAGGCAUGAAAUUGAUAAGAAUCGAGGUUCAAAUCAGCCGAGAGACCAAAAACUACCGGUGAAACUAUUGGGAUCGACGUUGACAGUAAAACAUUUGAUAGCCAUGCCAAUUGAUAAAUAUUGGAUCAGCAAACCACGAAACACACCUGAAUAUAUAGAUGGUCUAAGACAAUUUUUGGAUUUUUGCUUUUGAGCACGGGUUAGUUGGAAGCAUCUUAAUAUAUUUUCGUUUCAAAUUAGUUUAGAUUAUAGCUAUGUCCUUUUUUGUUCUUAACUUGCUUUAUGUUCUUGCAUCUAGCUACUUUCUUUCAUUAAUUAAGCUUUAAGUUAUUUUUAUCUUGAAAUUUAAACUGAUUUCGUAUCAAGGUUUUCUUGUUUUGCUUUAUAUACCUUUAUGUAUGUAGAGAUGCCGAAGCAAAAUAGGGUUAAAAAUUAAUUCAAAUCAGUCAAAGAGAGAUCUUCACUUGUUCCGAGGCAGUCAUCACAGGCUCAAGCUUCAUCUUCAACAUCUUAUCGAGUCUCUUUACAUUCUACACUGCCUACACAACCCACACAGCCUGUUAUUCCAGUUGAUGGAGUCUCUUCGCAGCACAGUGUUCCAUCUUCAUCAUCUAAUGGAGUCUCUUCGCAGCAUGUUGUAUCAUUUUCAUCAUCUGAUGGGGUAUCUUCUCAGCCCGCCAUUCCAUCUUCAUCAUCUGGUGCAGUUUCUUCACGACAAACUGGACGUAGUACUAGCAAUGAAGAGCCUCAUUGGUUUGUUGAUGUUAUAGGUACAUAUGAAUUUCAAGUGAUUGAGUAUUCUUUCUCCUUGUUCUCCAGUUAUCUAUCAAUACCUUCUCCUUGUUCUCCAGUUAUCUAUCCUUGAGAUCCUCCUCCUCUUUAGUUGAAGUUUCCAACAAUGACUUAGUUUUCUCAAAUUCAGCCAAGAAAUUUUGACAACCGGUUAUUCUCUGAGAGUAAUCUCUCCAGCUAUACAUGAUGGUUGGGAAGUCAAACUUAAGUUCCAAUAUUUGCUUGGCUUCUUCAUCUGCAAAUAAUGAGAGGUUGCCAACAAGUACGGCCUGAUGCACUUGGCAUAGUAUUCAGUCCCGAGCACCUCGGCUGUGUUCGAGGUUUAGGCUUGGGUGUAGUUCCAACCGUAGCAUUCAAACAGACAUAUGUGAGAUACUGUCGUGGUUAUGUGUGUUCAUCUAGCACUACCGCUCCAACUCCGGAGUGGCAGCAAGAGAUGACAGAUGUGAAAUCAAAAUUAAAUGCACUGAUUAGCUUAUAUGAAAGGAACAUAGGGAAUAUCCCGAGGAGUUUGCUCACUUAUUUUCCACUCCUCCACAGGCACCAGAUUUAGGAAGUGAUGCACCAUCAACAGUUGAACCAAGAAGAUCUUUAGAUGAAAGUAAGAAGAUCUUUAGAUGAAAGUAACAAUGAUGAUCGUCCAAAUGUGAAUUAGUGAUUAUUCUAUAGGAUCAACUAUGGAUCUUUUGGAUAUGACUGUGAAAAUACACUUUGAAGCAUUAAUAUUUGGAUGAAGUAAUUUUGUUAUACUUGUGUAAGUGUGAAUUUGUGAUUAUUUUGUAGGAUCAACAAUGAAUCUUUUGGAUAUUUCUGUUGAAAUACUUUGAAGCAUUAAUAUUUGGAUGAUGCAAUUUUA